rnacentral:rRNA from 1 species
GGAUGAACGCUGGCGGUGUGCCUAAUACAUGCAAGUCGAGCGAACAGACGAGGAGCUUACUCCUCUGACGUUAGCGGCGGACGGGUGAGUAACACGUGGAUAACCUACCUAUAAGACUGGGAUAACUUCGGGAAACCGGAGCUAAUACCGGAUAACAUGUUGAACCGCAUGGUUCAACAGUGAAAGACGGUCUUGCUGUCACUUAUAGAUGGAUCCGCGUCGCAUUAGCUAGUUGGUAAGGUAACGGCUUACCAAGGCAACGAUGCGUAGCCGACCUGAGAGGGUGAUCGGCCACACUGGAACUGAGACACGGUCCAGACUCCUACGGGAGGCAGCAGUAGGGAAUCUUCCGCAAUGGGCGAAAGCCUGACGGAGCAACGCCGCGUGAGUGAAGAAGGUCUUCGGAUCGUAAAACUCUGUUAUUAGGGAAGAACAAAUGUGUAAGUAACUAUGCACGUCUUGACGGUACCUAAUCAGAAAGCCACGGCUAACUACGUG